rnacentral:misc_RNA from 1 species
CAGGUAGCACUCCUCGUUCGACACCGGCACGCAUGAGCCCUCCCUUUUGACGUGGAGGGUCAACUCGUGCUCGGACAUCGUCCGUGCUUAGCGUAAAACGCUUAACUGGGUAUGCGACGAAUGAACGCCCAUUCCCCCUCAACAUUCUGCAUCCCGGGGCACAACUAGAGACCGUACACCUGACCAACAACGCUUGGUUUUCGCCGCUGUGGUAGGAGGACGGGUCCAGCUACAUAGGUCCACCGAACACCCCCGAAAGGAUGUCUGACGGAAUCGAUUGAUUUGAACGGGACAUCAAUACCUUCAUUAGGAAUGAAACACAGAAAACCAUACCUCGCCCAAGGCUUACAGCACUUGGAGCAACACUGAAGAGGUUUAUCAGCGUGCGGUUCGAUGCACAAGCAUGGAGCCCGCCAGCCAAAAAAACCAAUCACCACU